rnacentral:rRNA from 1 species
UACGUAGGGUGCAAGCGUUGUCCGGAAUUAUUGGGCGUAAAGAGCUCGUAGGCGGCCUGCUAAGUCGGACGUGAAAUCCCUCGGCUCAACCGGGGAACUGCGUCCGAUACUGGUGGGCUCGAAUCCGGGAGAGGGAUGUGGAAUUCCAGGUGUAGCGGUGAAAUGCGUAGAUAUCUGGAGGAACACCGGCGGCGAAGGCGGCAUCCUGGACCGGCAUUGACGCUGAGGCGCGAAAGCCAGGGGAGCAAACGGG